CAUCUCCGUAACACACAACUACACUUUACUGGAGCUUACGGAGUCGCUACCGUAACGGCACAAAAAGACGCUCAUACUUUUUUUUUGAGUGGGCUGGCGAGAUGGGUAUUUGUAGCUCGCGGGCUAGCGUGAUGCCAGUGUGGUACUGAUGAGAUGUCCUGAGGGGUCUGUUUAUAUGAGAGGAGGAUGCUGGCGGAGUGGUCAGCGGCAUCUACUGUAGUGCCGUGAAGUGAGCGUUGUUCGCCGUCCUCUCUCUUCUGGAGCCCUUCAUCUCCAAGAGAGACCUCGGCCAACAUGACUGGAGACGCAGCAGCAAGAUAGCAGGUAGGUUUGUGUGUUCAUUUAUUGGUGACAUUCUGAAUACUAAACUAAAUAUAAAAAAACGUAUGUAGCUGUCCGCUUUGUUCUGUAUAGCUUGUACAGUAAUGUAAUCACGUUAUACUGUCAUUCAUGAGAGGAGGUGGAUGGUUCCACUCAUGAUGUUGGUGAUGAUGAGGAGGAGGAUGGACAUUCCUCUGCCUCACCUGGUGCUGCUGCUGCAUCUCCUCCACCUGCCACUGCCCCCUCCUCAUCCACUGCUGCUCCCCAUCCGACAUCUUAUAAUCUCACAUCUGCUAUUUUCAAACGUGGGGGAGCGCUUAAGAGGACAGCCAUCGAGCCUGUGGGAAGGGAAACAAAGAAAUCCCAGAAUGUUCUGAUUACUAUUCAGCAGGUCGGGGCUGCGUUUGGUCCUCCCACGAUGACGAAGUGAAUCCUGUCGGGGCCGAUAUAGAGUGUGGAGCAGGGGUGUAGCCAAGACCCUGAUAGCGACCACUCAAGGAGGGGGACGAUGGCAUCGACGUGGCUGCCACGGCAACAGGGUCCUGAGAGCUGGCUCGGAGAAGGCCGGUGUGCUCUGUGUGCUCCGGUCGGGCUGCUGCACCGAAGUACAUCUUGUUUGGACGACCGAGGAACGUUCGACCUAGAAGGAGUCGUCAGUGAAUGAGGUGGCGUAUUCUCACAUUUUUAAAUGGCUCGGCAGAAUGCUCACCAACGUGUCGCACUUGUUCUGUGACAUCGGCUCGGAUGUCAGAGAAGUCCCACAUGGCCAGGAAGCUGUCAAAGCAGGAACCCUCCUCUGCUUCCUAUGGGAUCAGAUAGAACACAUGCAAUCUUAACAAGACUGGCCACGUCACUGGAACAAGGAUGUUCCUGCAAUGGAGAUUUGAGAUUCGACUAGAGAUGAAUAGCCUGUUAUUUGAAAGGUCGAUGACUAACAAGAUGAACUGAAAGUAAAAGAAGAAGUCCCUUAUUUGAAAAGUAAUUCUAGCUCUAGAAUGGUAAUCUAAAAACCACUGUUCUCUGGGCGCCAAACUGAACUGCCAGUUCAGAACUAUGACAUAUCACAUAAAUCGUUGUAUAACUAUAAUGUGGUACAAUUUCUAGGGCUGUCACUACAUUACAUUUUUAAUUUCAAUUAAAUGCGCUGAAUCUAAGAUAACACGUGAUUAAUGCCAAAUGUUCUGUGUCUGUUCUAAAUGUAAAGAUUUUAUCAACACAACAGUAGCCAUUGAUGUGCUUGCAGCAGGUUUUUCAGUGUUCUCAGAGGCUCUGAGGUCAUUCUGAUCUAUGUUCUUGACAGUACCUGUUAUGUUGGAUUGGUGUAGUAAACAAAUGUUUGCAUGAGAAAUGCAUUAACAAAAUGACAAAAUGUGUGAUUAACUUGCCAUUAACCUCAAAUAAAUUUUCCAGUGCGAAUAAUUGAGAUUAAAAACUGUAAUUAUUUGACAGCGAACAUUGUUGUCUUCAGUCCUUUGCUUGGAUCUCAGGAGGUUUCUGCACCCCAAAGUCAGCUCAGGACACAAAGAAAUACUACGUAAUAAAUAAUAACUAAGCAAUAAAACUAACAAUAAGAGCUUUUCCUUCACACAUUUUCCAUUGAAAUGUGAACAAGUAUUUGAAAAAACAAAUUGGCUGCCCUUCUAAUAUCAGUUUACCUGCACAUAGGGCUUGUAGGUGAAGGUAUAGUGGUGAGCAAUGGCUGCCAGAAACAUUUCUAUGCAGAUGAUGAAGUCCUAAAACAAGCAAAAUGAAAGAGUCAGUCAAGUUUACAGAAUAGUUUUUUCUCAGUGGUUGCAAUAAUCAUUAUAAAACAGAAGUAAUUGAGGCCACUUCCUCAGGGAAUAAGUGCUGACUAAGAUAAGAACCAUGACCAUGCUUUGAGCACAGUAGAAUCAUGCAUAAACAGUUUGUCGGGGCUGUGUAAAGUGUCCUUACCUGCAAACCAGUGGCUACUGCCUCAACACUGUCCCAAUCCCAGGUGUGUUUAUCCGAAAUAACACCGACUUUGACAAGAAUGGCUAUUAAUACUGCUUGCCUGAAGAGAAGUUAAGAUACUUGUUGACAAACAUAGUGCUUCCCUGUAAUUUUCUCUUAGUUCCACUUCCCUACCAGAAUGAGACAAAGACCACCAGUUUCACACAGAGGAACUUCCCCACAGGCCUGAUGGGAGUCAACUCAUCUCUCAGAGCUCGGUACAGCAAUACCAGACAGUACAUGGCGAACUAGAGGGGACACGUGUAUUAAUAACCUCUGCUGAAAUCCUGAAAUCCAUCAAGCUCAUUGUCUAAAUGAGAUGUGUUUACCAACUGAGAUAUGUUGUUGAUUAUCACCAGAUAGGACCAGGCAUUUCUGAAGCUGAAAUUGGCUUCGUCGUACACCCCACACAGCUGACAGAUCCUGAGCAGGAAAGAAAACAUCACGAGAUUCUUGUCAUGGGUUUGCUUAUUUUACCAUAAACCAACAAGAGCUCAGCAGCGCUUUCGUGUCAUGACUAGGAAAGCACCAAAAUGAAAAUUGAGGUCGAAGCCAAAUAAAUGAAACUUUAAAUCCAAAAACCAAAUAAUACCAAAUAUCCAAUGUGGCUAUGAAGAUAUACAUUUUUUAAAAUAUUACAUAAAUACUCUAGAAAACAUUUUAUACAUGCUUUUCAAUGAAA